GGUGGCUGGUUAUUGAUGCUAUUCGUGGUGGGAUUAUUCUUGCUAAGUUAUAUGUUCUACCUGUUCGAAGAAGUUAUUGGGGUAUUAAGAUUGCUAAACCACAUGUUGUUUCUUAUAAGGUACGGUGGGGGCAUGAGUUCAGCUAAAGCCGCUCCAGAGAGUGACACUGUAGGGUGUAGCUUUCUAGGCAAGGGGGUUAAAAAAGCAUUUGAAAAGGCUCAAUGCGCUUAAGCAUUGGAUGCUUGUCAAGAUUUGUGUU